rnacentral:rRNA from 1 species
GGGUUGUGAGGUUAAGCGACUAAGCGUACACGGUGGAUGCCCUGGCAGUCAGAGGCGAUGAAGGACGUGCUAAUCUGCGAUAAGCGUCGGUAAGGUGAUAUGAACCGUUAUAACCGGCGAUUUCCGAAUGGGGAAACCCAGUGUGUUUCGACACACUAUCAUUAACUGAAUCCAUAGGUUAAUGAGGCGAACCGGGGGAACUGAAACAUCUAAGUACCCCGAGGAAAAGAAAUCAACCGAGAUUCCCCCAGUAGCGGCGAGCGAACGGGGAGCAGCCCAGAGCCUGAAUCAGUAUGUGUGUUAGUGGAAGCGUCUGGAAAGGCGCGCGAUACAGGGUGACAGCCCCGUACACAAAAAUGCACAUAUUGUGAGCUCGAUGAGUAGGGCGGGACACGUGGUAUCCUGUCUGAAUAUGGGGGGACCAUCCUCCAAGGCUAAAUACUCCUGACUGACCGAUAGUGAACCAGUACCGUGAGGGAAAGGCGAAAAGAACCCCGGCGAGGGGAGUGAAAAAGAACCUGAAACCGUGUACGUACAAGCAGUGGGAGCACGCUUAGGCGUGUGACUGCGUACCUUUUGUAUAAUGGGUCAGCGACUUAUAUUCUGUAGCAAGGUUAACCGAAUAGGGGAGCCGAAGGGAAACCGAGUCUUAACUGGGCGUUAAGUUGCAGGGUAUAGACCCGAAACCCGGUGAUCUAGCCAUGGGCAGGUUGAAGGUUGGGUAACACUAACUGGAGGACCGAACCGACUAAUGUUGAAAAAUUAGCGGAUGACUUGUGGCUGGGGGUGAAAGGCCAAUCAAACCGGGAGAUAGCUGGUUCUCCCCGAAAGCUAUUUAGGUAGCGCCUCGUGAAUUCAUCUCCGGGGGUAGAGCACUGUUUCGGCAAGGGGGUCAUCCCGACUUACCAACCCGAUGCAAACUGCGAAUACCGGAGAAUGUUAUCACGGGAGACACACGGCGGGUGCUAACGUCCGUCGUGAAGAGGGAAACAACCCAGACCGCCAGCUAAGGUCCCAAAGUCAUGGUUAAGUGGGAAACGAUGUGGGAAGGCCCAGACAGCCAGGAUGUUGGCUUAGAAGCAGCCAUCAUUUAAAGAAAGCGUAAUAGCUCACUGGUCGAGUCGGCCUGCGCGGAAGAUGUAACGGGGCUAAACCAUGCACCGAAGCUGCGGCAGCGACACUAUGUGUUGUUGGGUAGGGGAGCGUUCUGUAAGCCUGUGAAGGUGUGCUGUGAGGCAUGCUGGAGGUAUCAGAAGUGCGAAUGCUGACAUAAGUAACGAUAAAGCGGGUGAAAAGCCCGCUCGCCGGAAGACCAAGGGUUCCUGUCCAACGUUAAUCGGGGCAGGGUGAGUCGACCCCUAAGGCGAGGCCGAAAGGCGUAGUCGAUGGGAAACAGGUUAAUAUUCCUGUACUUGGUGUUACUGCGAAGGGGGGACGGAGAAGGCUAUGUUGGCCGGGCGACGGUUGUCCCGGUUUAAGCGUGUAGGCUGGUUUUCCAGGCAAAUCCGGAAAAUCAAGGCUGAGGCGUGAUGACGAGGCACUACGGUGCUGAAGCAACAAAUGCCCUGCUUCCAGGAAAAGCCUCUAAGCAUCAGGUAACAUCAAAUCGUACCCCAAACCGACACAGGUGGUCAGGUAGAGAAUACCAAGGCGCUUGAGAGAACUCGGGUGAAGGAACUAGGCAAAAUGGUGCCGUAACUUCGGGAGAAGGCACGCUGAUAUGUAGGUGAAGUCCCUCGCGGAUGGAGCUGAAAUCAGUCGAAGAUACCAGCUGGCUGCAACUGUUUAUUAAAAACACAGCACUGUGCAAACACGAAAGUGGACGUAUACGGUGUGACGCCUGCCCGGUGCCGGAAGGUUAAUUGAUGGGGUUAGCCGCAAGGCGAAGCUCUUGAUCGAAGCCCCGGUAAACGGCGGCCGUAACUAUAACGGUCCUAAGGUAGCGAAAUUCCUUGUCGGGUAAGUUCCGACCUGCACGAAUGGCGUAAUGAUGGCCAGGCUGUCUCCACCCGAGACUCAGUGAAAUUGAACUCGCUGUGAAGAUGCAGUGUACCCGCGGCAAGACGGAAAGACCCCGUGAACCUUUACUAUAGCUUGACACUGAACAUUGAGCCUUGAUGUGUAGGAUAGGUGGGAGGCUUAGAAGUGUGGACGCCAGUCUGCAUGGAGCCGACCUUGAAAUACCACCCUUUAAUGUUUGAUGUUCUAACGUUGACCCGUAAUCCGGGUUGCGGACAGUGUCUGGUGGGUAGUUUGACUGGGGCGGUCUCCUCCUAAAGAGUAACGGAGGAGCACGAAGGUUGGCUAAUCCUGGUCGGACAUCAGGAGGUUAGUGCAAUGGCAUAAGCCAGCUUGACUGCGAGCGUGACGGCGCGAGCAGGUGCGAAAGCAGGUCAUAGUGAUCCGGUGGUUCUGGACGGAAGGGCCCUCGCUCAACGGAUAAAAGGUACUCCGGGGAUAACAGGCUGAUACCGCCCAAGAGUUCAUAUCGACGGCGGUGUUUGGCACCUCGAUGUCGGCUCAUCACAUCCUGGGGCUGAAGUAGGUCCCAAGGGUAUGGCUGUUCGCCAUUUAAAGUGGUACGCGAGCUGGGUUUAGAACGUCGUGAGACAGUUCGGUCCCUAUCUGCCGUGGGCGCUGGAGAACUGAGGGGGGCUGCUCCUAGUACGAGAGGACCGGAGUGGACGCAUCACUGGUGUUCGGGUUGUCAUGCCAAUGGCACUGCCCGGUAGCUAAAUGCGGAAGAGAUAAGUGCUGAAAGCAUCUAAGCACGAAACUUGCCCCGAGAUGAGUUCUCCCUGACUCCUUGAGAGUCCUGAAGGAACGUUGAAGACGACGACGUUGAUAGGCCGGGUGUGUAAGCGCAGCGAUGCGUUGAGCUAACCGGUACUAAUGAACCGUGAGGCUUAACCUUACAACGCCGAAGGUGUUU